GCUCAGGUGAGCUCAGGUGAGCUCAGGUGCCGGUGCCGGCUCCGGCCACGCUGCGCGGACACGCGAGGAGCCCGGGAAAACCUCCGCGUGGAACCACAGCCUUCCUGCUGAGGACACGAGGGAAAGGACCCAGGAAUGCCUGCCUCUACCACAUAACAUUUGCUGGAGGAUGAGUAGCAUCUUUGAAUAAGGAAUGACAGAAUUUACAAGGACUGUGGUGGAAAAUGAAGUUUUUCCAGGCUGUGAAUUCCCAAGUUACCCUGCCUUUCCCAGGAGCCCUUCACUCUGUGACAACAGGUAAAAGAUUUUCAAAGAACAUUUUUAAGGAAAGUUGCUGUAAAAGCAGAGAAUUCCCUGUCUUGAAACUCAGAGAUGGAAGUGACAUAACAGAUUUCUGCAUCUACAAGUCUUGUGUAAAAGCUAUGAAAGAACAAAGCAGCUGCCAGCAAGGGGUAAGAAUCCACCAAGUUACAUUGUGAUGAAUACUCAGAAUGAAGGAAUUAAAUAUUACAUAGGCUCUGGCAGAUGGAAGGAGAAUGACCAAGCAGCAGGUACCUCAUUACACCUAGAAUAUGUAACUGAUAGAGCAGGUGAGCAAGUACAAAUUGUUGCAGAAUCUGUAUUGAGAUUUAGGCAAAAGGAGGUGUAUGGUGAAAAUACAUCAACCAGGAAAAACAGCUUGCAGAGUACAGCAACGUGUCCGUCCAGAUUCUGAGGUAAAAGUGAACAAAACUUGCAUCAUUAUUACAGCAAAUUAAAAAGUGUCAAUACUUCUAAAGCCAUGGCAAGGAAAUGCAGCAUUACUGCAUCCGCUGGCAUCUUUUCUGUGUGGGGCAGGUCAGCAUUUCAGGCCUUUUUCUUUAGGCAGAAAUCAAAUUCUGUCUAAGCUGAGAAACAGAUUAAAACUAUUUUCUUUUGUUAAUUUUUUUUUAUUUUGUUU